UAAUGCCGGAUGCUCCGACUCCUCGCAUGGGGUGUCGGGAAAGAUUUCAUCGGUAUGGGAUGGGGUCGCGUCCUAUCAGGUAGUCGGCGGGGUAACGGCCCACCGAGCCUACGACGGGUAGCCGGCCUGAGAGGGCGACCGGCCACAUUGGGACUGAGAUACGGCCCAGACUCCUACGGGAGGCAGCAGUGGGGAAUAUUGCACAAUGGGCGCAAGCCUGAUGCAGCGACGCCGCGUGCGGGAUGACGGCCUUCGGGUUGUAAACCGCUUUUGAUCGGGAGCAAGCCUUCGGGUGAGUGUACCUUUCGAAUAAGCACCGGCUAACUACGUGCCAGCAGCCGCGGUAAUACGUAGGGUGCAAGCGUUAUCCGGAAUUAUUGGGCGUAAAGGGCUCGUAGGCGGUUCGUCGCGUCCGGUGUGAAAGUCCAUCGCUUAACGGUGGAUCUGCGCCGGGUACGGGCGGGCUGGAGUGCGGUAGGGGAGACUGGAAUUCCCGGUGUAACGGUGGAAUGU
rnacentral:rRNA from 1 species